CAAGAUAGAACUUAGUAGUAAAGUAUUUCAUUUACACUGAAAAUUGUUCUGUGCGAAUCAGGAUAUCUUGA
rnacentral:tRNA from 2 species